rnacentral:rRNA from 1 species
AUUGAACGCUGGCGGCAGGCCUAACACAUGCAAGUCGAGCGGAGAUGAGGUGCUUGCACCUUAUCUUAGCGGCGGACGGGUGAGUAAUGCUUAGGAAUCUGCCUAUUAGUGGGGGACAACAUUCCGAAAGGAAUGCUAAUACCGCAUACGUCCUACGGGAGAAAGCAGGGGAUCUUCGGACCUUGCGCUAAUAGAUGAGCAUAAGUCGGAUUAGCUAGUUGGUGGGGUAAAGGCCUACCAAGGCGACGAUCUGUAGCGGGUCUGAGAGGAUGAUCCGCCACACUGGGACUGAGACACGGCCCAGACUCCUACGGGAGGCAGCAGUGGGGAAUAUUGGACAAUGGGCGGAAGCCUGAUCCAGCCAUGCCGCGUGUGUGAAGAAGGCCUUUUGGUUGUAAAGCACUUUAAGCGAGGAGGAGGCUACCUAGAUUAAUACUCUGGGAUAGUGGACGUUACUCGCAGAAUAAGCACCGGCUAACUCUGUGCCAGCCGCCGCGGUAACAC